rnacentral:lncRNA from 1 species
UUAAUAUUGGGGCGGUCUCCAAUACUGGGAGUAGAGAGAACACAGUUGAGUUGAAGGUAGAAGAAAUAUUUAGAGAGAGAGAGAGAGUGCCGACUGGGUUAGAAACCAGAAUCGAUCACUGAAUUACAGUAUUCGAGAUGUUUUUGGCCAUAAUUAAUCACGAAGAAGAAGAGGAAAAAGAAGGAAUCGGCACUAAAUUACUGUAUUAGAGGUGUUGUUUAAUUGGGUUUCUUCCAGAAUGAAUUACCCAAAGGAAGAAGAGGUAUUGUCUUUUUUUUCCCGAGUAAUUUCUACUUUCAGUUGAUGGUACUGUUUAAUUUGGGUUUAAUUGGGUUUCUUCCACGAUUUCUUGUCAAUUUGAGUUUCUUCUUUGUGUUUCUUGUCUAAUUUGGGUUUAAUUUGGUUCUUCAGAAUCUUCACUGAAUUACCCAAAGAAAUAAAAAGGUUUUUCGAUUGUUUGAGUAAUUUCUACUUUAUUCGUACUGUAUAAUUUGGGUUCGAUUGUGUUUCUUCCACGAUUUCUUGUCAAUUUGGAUUUCUUCUAUGUGUUUCUUGUCUAAUUUAGGUUUAAUUGUUUUUCUUCAGAAUGGUCACUUUAUUACCCAAAAGAAGAAAGGGUUUUUCGAUUAUCUUAGUAAUUUUUACUCUGUGUAUCCUUACAGUUUAAUUUGGGUUUCUUCUAUGAUUUCUUGUCUAAUUUUUGAUGGUACUGUUUAAUUCUUGAUUUUCUCUGUGUGUUUUGUGGAUUUUUUUAUGAUUGCUAUUAAUAAUUUGUAUUGUUUGUGGCUUACAUUGAAUAGAUAUUUUCUUUACAUAUGAUUUCUGUCUAAUUGGGGUUUUCCCUUGAUUUCUUGUCUAAUUGGGUUUUUGUUAGUUUUGUCUGUCACUUUGAGUAUGAGUUUCACUCUCUUUUCUUUCCGAGUCUACUUGACUUUUUUAUUUAUUAAUGUUGUUCUGUUUGGAAACACCAUUAUCAGAAUCUCUCUCUAAAAAGGAAAAAAAUGAUGUUGUACUAAUCCUAUAUAUACAUACAUGUAAUGUUUAUAUAUCAGGGUUUGGUGUCUACAGAUCUUGAUUUGCAGUGCAGAUCUAGUGCUUUAGGGGUUCAACAUUUGCUCACGAAUGGCUACUCCCUUUUGCUUUCCUGUCACUGCUGUGCAUAUAUGUACCUCUCUAUCUCUCUUCUGAUAUAUAUAUAUAUAUAUAUGAAUGAUCCAAAGCAUCUAUUUGCUAUGGAUCAAAAAGUGGCAUAUAGCAUCUAUACCGUAGCUUUAACAAAUGAUGGAAAAAAUGACUAUAUAUGUUGUUCACUAGUUUGAAGAAUCAUUACUUGUAUCCUAAUUAAUGCAUGCUGAAUCUAUUCCAGUAAUGUUUCCUUCACAGGCUAAAGGGAAGAAGAGAGAUAUUGCAGUAAUGUUCACAGGCUAAAGGGAAGAAGAGAGAUAUUGCAGGUUAAAGGCUAAAGGGCUGAAUCUAUUCCAGUAAUGUUCUCAUUGCACGAUCAUAUUGCAUUUGAUGCCCGUAUAUGACAAGCACAUGGUAAUGAAUGAAUACACAAAUUCUUUGUAUAGAUCUUGUUCUUUGAAUUCAUAGCUAAAUUAUGUUAAUCAAUGUUUAUUUUAAAAAUGGAAACUUGAAAUUCCUUUCUGCUUGUUGAGCGGAUAGUUAAGAGUUUGUGGAUAUAAUAAUAAUGAAUGAUUUGUCUUCUGAAAUUAUAUAUUUUGAGAUUUCAUGCAAAACUAUUUUAGGAGGUGAAGUGUUUUGUGCUUGAUUUUCUGUCUUGUGUUUUAUUUACAAUUAAUCCCGGCCAUGCCUUAAAAAUAAAGAGAAUUCAUAUGAGAUACUAUUUCAUAGAACUAAAUGUGUACAAUUUGGGAUGUAGAAAUUGUAAUGUAGCUGUUUUGUGUUGGUCAGCACAGUAGCUUUUGACAGAUAGGUAAAUCAUCCUUGCUGUGUUGCUGAUGUCUGGUUUUGAGCAUACAGGAUUGAAUUUAUAGAAGAUGACAACUUAGAGGAUGCUUGGACAGUUUUCCUAAGGUAUCGCUACUGGGCCAGUUUGAUAUAAGAUUCUGCUGCCAUCUACUUUUUUGAUGCAGGGUGUUAUGCUCAUUGUGUUUCCUAACUUGCCUCAAAGUUAUGUUUUCAUGCUGAGUUUAACUUUUUUUUGAAGUUCCAUUUUUGAGCUUUUAACGGAAGAUCGCAGACUGAGUACCUGCUUUAAAUUGCCUCACUUUUUAACUUCAGCAGUUUUUAUUCAUGAUUCUUUGGAUCUUAGUUUGAUCAAUAUAUUACAUAUAGUUCUAAUUGUUUAAUCUAAGUUUUUAUAUCUAAUUUUCUUUAAAGGUAUCUUUAUCUUCCAUUUAGUUGAUUAUAUUAUAAUAAGAAUCUAUCUACAGUAACAAAGAAAUAACUAUAUAUCAAAUUAAAUACAUAAAGCAGUAAAAUUAGCACAAAGUUGUAUGGACUGGAAUGCUUAGGUGUCAUUUGUGCAAAAAAUUUAGCCCAAAUUCUGCAAUUUUAGAUAUGAAAUAACAAGUGACAACAGGAUGGGGCCUAUGGUAAGGCGUUCAGUAUUGUUGUGAAUCUUAAUUACCAUGACUGAUAUUCACUGGACUGACCACCAAUAAAGCUAACAAAUUUUCUGUGAAUUUAACAGGCAUGUGCCUUCAAGGACUCUUAUGAGAAAUUCAAGAAAGCAGGAGCUGAGGUUGUUGGUAUUAAGUUGUAUUUGAUUUGGAAUUAUGUUUAGGAUAUAUUUUUGUUGUUGAUUUGGAAUAGGAUUGGUAUAAUUUGUUUUGGAAUUGGAUUUAUUUGAUUUGGAAUAACUUGGUAUUUUAUGUAUUUGAUGUGGAAGAAUUUGGAAUUUGAUGUAUUUGAUUUGAUCUCCUUUGGAAUUUGAUAUUUCAAAUAUGAUUUGUAAAGAUUUGCAAUUGAAUUGAUAGUACAGGAAUUCGUGUUGUAUUGCAAUUGAAUUUAUAAUGACGCUGCUGUGUACUGGGUAUUGCAGUAUAGGGGGCUGAUAUUUUAUCCAUCCACUAGUAUGUCUAGCGGAUGUAUAAUAGAUUCUGGAAUACUUGGCAUAUGAGGGCAUAAAGGUCUAAACAAUUCAUUAAUCACGUCUGCUAGUCUUACUUGCGGACGACGUGUCUCCAAUUUUAAUCCCAUCCAUUUAUUUGUUAAACCUACGGUAUAGAUGCUAUAUGCCACUUUUUGCUUCAUAGCAAAUAGAUGCUAUGGAUCAUUCCCCUAUAUAUAUAUAUAUAUGUAUGUAUGUGUAUGUAUUUUUCCUUAGUCUAGUUUCUGUAUCUAAAUUGUAGUAAUCAAAAACAUAGCUUUAAGGGUGAAGAAGAAGAGUCAAUGAGUGGGAUUCCAUUGCAGAGUGAUGAGUGCUUAUCUUUGAUGUUGGCAAAUGAGUAUGACCAUUUUCCUGCUGGUGAAGACUUGAAGAGAUUGAGGAAUGGGGAUUUGGAUUUGGGUGCCAGGCAGGAGGCUGUUGAUGGGAAAGGUAGAUUCAGUCGUCUUUUUAAUGGGUUUUCCCCCUAUUUUUGGAUAGUGUUUCUUUGAGUUUAGAACUUUAGAUGAUUGAUGUUUGGAUUUAGAUUCCAUUUUUUGAAUGUUUUAAUCAUUUGAUGAACUUGGGUAUUAUGUAUUUGAAGUGAAUUUGGAUUCUGAUUGCAAUUUCAGUUUAUGAUAGACCUUUUCUUGGGUAGUUUUUGGUGUUUGAUGAACUGUGUUUUGGUUUUCUUUAAUUUUGGAUUCCUUUUUUUAUUGCAGUCGCACAUUAAAAUGAAAUAAGUUUUGGUUGGAUCUUUUGUUUUUGCUGAUAUGUUAAUUGUCCUUAUGUGUUUCUACUUCACAUUUGAUAUUCCU